UAGGGAAUCUUCCGCAAUGGACGCAAGUCUGACGGAGCAACGCCGCGUGAGUGAAGAAGGAUUUCGGUUCGUAAAACUCUGUUGUUAGAGAAGAACAGCGCAUAGAGUAACUGUUAUGCGUGUGACGGUAUCUAACCAGAAAGCCACGGCUAACUACGUGCCAGCAGCCGCGGUAAUACGUAGGUGGCAAGCGUUGUCCGGAUUUAUUGGGCGUAAAGCGAGCGCAGGCGGUCAAUUAAGUCUGAUGUGAAAGCCCACGGCUCAACCGGGGAGGGUCAUUGGAAACUGGUUGACUUGAGUGCAGAAGAGGAGAGUGGAAUUCCAUGUGUAGCGGUGAAAUGCGUAGAUAUAUGGAGGAACACCAGUGGCGAAGGCGACUCUCUGGUCUGUAACUGACGCUGAGGCUCGAAAGCGUGGGUAGCAAACAGG
rnacentral:rRNA from 1 species